ensembl:snRNA U6 U6 spliceosomal RNA
GUGCUUUCUUCAGCAGCACAUAUACUAAAACUGGAAUGAUAACGAGAAGACAAGCAUGGCCCCCGACAAGGCUGACAUGCAAAUUCUUGAAUCAUUCCAUAUUUGG